UACGUAGGGUGCGAGCGUUGUCCGGAAUUAUUGGGCGUAAAGAGCUCGUAGGCGGUCUGUCGCGUCGAUCGUGAAAACUUGGGGCUUAACCCUGAGCUUGCGGUCGAUACGGGCAUGACUGGAGUUCGGCAGGGGAGACUGGAAUUCCUGGUGUAGCGGUGAAAUGCGCAGAUAUCAGGAAGAACACCUGUGGCGAAAGCGGCGCACUGGACCACAACUGACGCUGAGGCGCGAAAGCUAGGGGAGCAAACAGG
rnacentral:rRNA from 1 species